rnacentral:rRNA from 1 species
CACGUAGGGUGCGAGCGUUGUCCGGAAUUAUUGGGCGUAAAGAGCUCGUAGGCGGCUUGGCAAGUCGGGUGUGAAACCUCCAGGCUCAACCUGGAGACGCCACUCGAUACUGCCAUGGCUAGAGUCCGGUAGGGGACCACGGAAUUCCUGGUGUAGCGGUGAAAUGCGCAGAUAUCAGGAGGAACACCGGUGGCGAAGGCGGGUCUCUGGGCAGUAACUGACGCUGAGGAGCGAAAGCGUGGGGAGCGAACAGG